rnacentral:rRNA from 1 species
CNGGUUACCUUGUUACGACUUCACCCCAGUCAUGAAACACAAAGUGGUAAUCGUCCUCCCGAAGGUUAGACUAACUACUUCUUUUGCAUCCCACUCCCAUGGUGUGACGGGCGGUGUGUACAAGGCCCGGGAACGUAUUCACCGCAGUAUUCUGACCUGCGAUUACUAGCGAUUCCGACUUCAUGGAGUCGAGUUGCAGACUCCAAUCCGGACUACAACAUUCUUUAAGGGGUCCGCUCCACAUCACUGUCUCGCUUCCCUCUGUAAAUGCCAUUGU